rnacentral:tRNA from 1 species
AGGGUUGUAGUUAAUUAUAACAUUUGUUUUGCAUUCAAAAAGUAUCUUAUAGAUCAAUCUUA